rnacentral:rRNA from 1 species
AUUGAACGCUGGCGGCAGGCCUAACACAUGCAAGUCGAGCGGAGCGGCGGACGGGUGAGUAAGGCCUAGGAAUCUGCCUGGUAGUGAGGGAUAAGGUCCGGACACGGGCGCGAAUACCGCAUAGUUUUAGAUGAGCCUAGGUCGGAUGAGCUCGUUGGUGGGGUAAAGGCCUACAAAGGCGACGGUCCGUAACUGGCCUGAGAGGAUGAUCAGCCAAACUGGAACUGAGACACGGUCCAGACUCCUACGGGAGGCAGCAGUGGGGAAUAUUGGACAAUGGGCGAAAGCCGGAUCCAGCCAUGCCGCGUGUGUGAAGAAGGUCUUCGGAUUGUAAAGCACUUUAAGUUGGGAGGCGGUACCAACAUAGUAAGCACCGGCUAACUUCGUGCCAGCAGCCGCGGUAAUUC